rnacentral:rRNA from 1 species
UACAGAGGGUGCAAGCGUUGUUCGGAAUUAUUGGGCGUAAAGCGCGUGUAGGCGGCUUUGCAAGUCGGGUGUGAAAUCCCUCAGCUUAACUGAGGAAGUGCGCCCGAAACUGCAUGGCUUGAAUACCGGAGAGGAUCGCGGAAUUCCCGGUGUAGAGGUGAAAUUCGUAGAUAUCGGGAGGAACACCAGUGGCGAAGGCGGCGAUCUGGGCAGAUACUGACGCUGAGGUGCGAAAGCGUGGGGAGCAAACAGG